CCGAGUUUACAACUCCCAAACCCAUGUGAACAUACCUACAUGUUGCUUCGGCGGAGCCGCCCCGGCGCCCGGGACUCACGUCUCGCGGCCCGGAACCAGGCGCCCGCCGGAGGCCACAAACUCUUUCUGUAUUUACAGUUUCUUCUGAGUGUGCCGCAAGGCAGCAAACAAAUGAAUCA
rnacentral:misc_RNA from 1 species